rnacentral:sRNA from 1 species
CUUGCAAGACAGAAACUCUGUCCCCAUUAACACCAAUCUCCUGGCCCCUGGCCUUCGGGGCUGUGGAGGCCAUCUCUGACCGGAUCUGUAUCCACACCAAUGCGCACGUCAGCGUGGAGGUGUCGGCGGAGGACCUGCUCACCUGCUGUGGCAGCAUGUGUGGGGACGGCUGUAAUGGUGGCUAUCCUGCUGAAGCUUGGAACUUCUGGACAAGAAAAGGCCUGGUUUCUGGUGGCCUCUAUGAAUCCCAUGUAGGGUGCAGACCGUACUCCAUUCCUCCCUGUGAGCACCACGUCAACGGCUCCCGGCCUCCAUGCACAGGGGAGGGAGACACCCCCAAGUGUAGCAAGAUCUGCGAGCCUGGCUACAGUCCGACCUACAAACAGGACAAGCACUACG